GGACGGGAUAGUCUCAUCCGUUAGGACGUCGCGCCGGGUAGGCGAUGGUUGCGGGUUCGACCCCUGCUCCUGGACCA
rnacentral:tRNA from 1 species